rnacentral:rRNA from 1 species
UACGGAGGGGGCUAGCGUUGUUCGGAAUACUGGGCGUAAAGCGCGCGUAGGCGGUCCGGGUAAGUCGGCUGUGAAAGUCCAGGGGCUCAACCCCUGGAGUGCCCGGUCGAUACUGCCCGGACUAGAGUUCGGAAGAGGCGAGUGGAAUUCCCGGUGUAGCGGUGAAAUGCGCAGAUAUCGGGAGGAAUACCGGUGGCGAAG